rnacentral:rRNA from 1 species
UAGCCGUAAACGAUACUCGCUAGGUGUCGGCCACGGUGCGACCGUUGUCGGUGCCGUAGGGAAGCCGUGAAGCGAGCCACCUGGGAAGUACGGCCGCAAGGCUGAAACUUAAAGGAAUUGGCGGGGGAGCACAACAACGGGUGGGAGCUUGCGGUUUAAUUUGGAUUCAACGCCGGAAAUCUUACCGGGACCGACAGCAACAUGAAGGCCAAGCUGAAGACUUUGCCGGAUUAGCUGAGAGGUGGUGCAUGGCGUGUGACUGU